AACGUAGGAGGCGAGCGUUAUCCGGAUUUACUGGGCGUAAAGCGCACGCAGGCGGCCCCGACAGUCGGACGUGAAAGCUCCCGGCUUAACUGGGAGAGGCCGUUCGAUACUACGGGGCGUUGAGGUUGGGAGAGGGGUGUGGAAUUCCCGGUGUAGUGGUGGAAUGCGUAGAUAUCGGGAGGAACACCUGUGGCGAAAGCGGCACCCUGGCCCACACCUGACGCUGAGGUGCG
rnacentral:rRNA from 1 species